rnacentral:rRNA from 1 species
AUUGAACGCUGGCGGCGUGCUUAACACAUGCAAGUCGAUCGGUAACAGGUGUAGCAAUACAUGCUGACGAGAGGCGGACGGGUGAGUAAUGCUUGGGAAUCUGCCUAUUAGUGGGGGACAACCCGGGGAAACUCGGGCUAAUACCGCAUACGCUCUACGGAGGAAAGCCGGGGACCGCAAGGCCUGGCGCUAAUAGAUGAGCCCAAGUCGGAUUAGCUAGUUGGUAGGUAACGGCCUACCAAGGCGACAAUCCGUAGCUGGUCUGAGAGGACGACCAGCCACACCGGAACUGAGACACGGUCCCGGACUCCUACGGGAGGCAGCAGUGGGGAAUAUUGGACAAUGGGGCAACCCUGAUCCAGCGACGCCGCGUGGGUGAAGAAGGCCUGCGGGUUGUAAAGCCCUUUCGGUGGGAAGAAAAGUCUCGACCUAAUACGUCGGGACCUUGACGUAACCCACUAAAGAAGCACCGGCUAACUCUGUGCCAG